GCAUAUCAAUAAGCGGAGGAAAAGAAACCAACAGGGAUUGCCCUAGUAACGGCGAAGUGAAGCGGCAACAGCUCAAAUUUGAAAUCUGGCUCUCGGGCCCGAGUUGUAAUUUGUAGAGGAUACUUUUGAUGCGGUGCCUUCCGAGUUCCCUGGAACGGGACGCCAUAGAGGGUGAGAGCCCCGUCUGGUUGGAUGCCAAAUCUCUGUAAAGUUCCUUCAACGAGUCGAGUAGUUUGGGAAUGCUGCUCUAAAUGGGAGGUAUAUGUCUUCUAAAGCUAAAUACCGGCCAGAGACCGAUAGCGCACAAGUAGAGUGAUCGAAAGAUGAAAAGCACUUUGAAAAGAGAGUUAAAAAGUACGUGAAAUUGUUGAAAGGGAAGCGUUUAUGACCAGACUUGGGCUUGGUUAAUCAUCUGGGGUUCUCCCCAGUGCACUUUUCCAGUCCAGGCCAGCAUCAGUUUUCCCCGGGGGAUAAAGGCGGCGGGAAUGUGGCUCUCUUCGGGGAGUGUUAUAGCCCACCGUGUAAUACCCUGGGGGGGACUGAGGUUCGCGCAUCUGCAAGGAUGCUGGCGUAAUGGUCAUCAACGACCCGUCUUGAAACACGGACCAAGGAGUCGUCUUCGUAUGCGAGUGUUCGGGUGUCAAACCCCUACGCGUAAUGAAAGUGAACGCAGGUGAGAGCUUCGGCGCAUCAUCGACCGAUCCUGAUGUUCUCGGAUGGAUUUGAGUAAGAGCAUACGGGGCCGGACCCGAAAGAAGGUGAACUAUGCCUGUAUAGGGUGAAGCCAGAGGAAACUCUGGUGGAGGCUCGCAGCGGUUCUGACGUGCAAAUCGAUCGUCAAAUAUGGGCAUGGGGGCGAAAGACUAAUCGAACCUUCUAGUAGCUGGUUUCCGCGA
rnacentral:rRNA from 1 species